AUUGAACGCUGGCGGCAGGCCUAACACAUGCAAGUCGAACGGCAGCACAGAAGAGCUUGCUCUUUGGGUGGCGAGUGGCGGACGGGUGAGUAAUGUCUGGGAAACUGCCCGAUGGAGGGGGAUAACUACUGGAAACGGUAGCUAAUACCGCAUAACGUCGCGAGACCAAAGUGGGGGACCUUCGGGCCUCACACCAUCGGAUGUGCCCAGAUGGGAUUAGCUAGUAGGUGGGGUAAUGGCUCACCUAGGCGACGUUCCCUAGCUGGUCUGAGAGGAUGACCAGCCACACUGGAACUGAGACACGGUCCAGACUCCUACGGGAGGCAGCAGUGGGGAAUAUUGCACACUGGGCGCAAGCCUGAUGCAGCCAUGCCGCGUGUAUGAAGAAGGCCUUCGGGUUGUAAAGUACUUUCAGCGGGGAGGAAGGCGGUGAGGUUAAUAACCUCGCCGAUUGACGUUACCCGCAGAAGAAGCACCGGCUAACUCCGUGCCAGCCGCCGCUGUAA
rnacentral:rRNA from 1 species